UGCCUCUGCUGGUGUUCUGUGAGUGAGCCCAGGAUAGGGCCUUUUUCAUGCAAUCUCAAUUUGGAGAUCCAAAGUCAGCAUUCUGGACAAUGUUUUUCUCUGUCUUCAGUCUCAAAACAGGCCAAAUGUUUGAGAUUCUGAUCCCCUGACUCACUCUCCAGAGUAUUUUGAUUUCAAUAGUUGUCUUGACUGAUGAGACUUCUUAUGGAGAAAGGCCAAGGCUGAGCCACUCUUGACACCAGAGGCUUUUGGAAGUCAGCAGGAUUGAAAGAGUAACUACUCACCAGGGAAAGACUCUUCUGAAAGAACUCCACUUUCUUACUUCACACAGUUCCUGAGAUGCAUAUGUCUAUCUCAGCAUUAAGUUCAAAUUCACUCUAUGUGCUGAAGAAAGCUUGGUAGAGAAGCAAAAGUAGUUAAGACACUCUUUGGUAUUUGGGAGACCUUUUUUCAACUCUCUGCUCCACGGCAGCUCCCCAUAUGACCCCAAGGCGGGCCUUAACCCUGCAGUGUUUCAUUUGUAAAGCAGUCAGGGUAUCCCAGAGCUCCUACACAGGAAUGCAGCAAGGAGAAAGUGCUAGAGUCCAGGAUGUCUUUAAUGUACUGGUAAAGAUAAGGUAUCAUGGAAGCCAUAAGAAACAACGCUCUGAGAAUUGUCUGUUUUUCUUUAUUUUUCUCUCAAUGUUAUCCGCAUUCAUAGGUGAGGCCACAUGAAAGACACAGAAUUUUUCAACUGUCUUUCAACUCCCGCCCUUUGUUCUUUGUCCCUACAGUCCUAUUGAUCCUUAUGAGAUACUGCAUGGAAAAUCUGCCACAAACCACAUUUUUUUUAGUCAUUCCAUACCACGGGAUAUCUGAAUUUACAUGUGUUAGAGACUGCUGCUUUGGUCAAAGCCACAGGAACAUGAUGUAACACACCGCUUUCUCAUUCUGAAACCUGGUGUGGGAAUGACAUGAGCUCACCCACCACUUUUGCACUGUGUAAACAGCCUGCAAAUUAAGUAUGAAAAAAGAGUGCUAAUGAUUGCAAAGGAUUCUGGGGAAAAAAAAAAAAAAAAAAAAAAACUUGAAAAAGCCAGCGUUGUGAGCUGUCUCUAGCCCAGUUUCUGGCAGUCACAUUGCUGGAAAGUAAACCUCGGCCCUGAAGACUUUACAAUUUCCAAACAAGCAAAUUCUAUUGCAGGACCUCUUCCACAGAGCCUUAUUUGAUGAUCCACAAGCUGUAAAAUCAGAGAAUAAUUUAGACUGGAAGGCACUUGCGGAGGUCUUUGAUCCAGUUCAUGCCACAAGACUUCUGUGGGUUCCACCAAGACCUCUCCGGAGGAAGAGAAAAAAUCAUAUCAUGGAAAUAGCUUUGGGAACUACAAUAGAAACAUCUUUGAUGAUUAGAAUGGUUUUAUUGCUUUUCCUGAUGGAGAAAUUAAUACAGGCAUCUUCAUAACACAGCAACAUCCGGUGGGCUGGGAACAAGGAAUUAACAGCCAGACUUUGGCUCUGUUUUGAAUACACAUUUGCCUGUAGUAUAGAGCUGAAUAGAACGAUUGUUCUUUUUGACUUGUCUAACACAAGCGCUAUCAUCAUCUUUAGCAGCAGUAACAGAGAGCUUUGUGUGGUGGAUAAAACACUUCCCAAAAUCCUGAGUCCAGUUCUGACAUUUAUUUGGUGUGUGACUUCAGACAAUUCAUUGUACUUCUGUGCCCUCAUUUUCCUCUCAUCUGCAAAAUGUUCUUCAAGAUUUACUGAUGAAAAUCUCUGUACAUAAAAUCAGAAAAUACACAUUAUCGUAUUAAUUGGGAAUAUCUUUAGUCCUGCUUGAAUGACUUGAAUGACUGCUGGCUUGAAAUAAGAAGCCUGGAGAUGACAAAUUUUUCUUCAAACUAAAAUUUGGCUGAAAGCUGCCAGAGAAGCAGCUCUUUUAGCUUUUGUGUUUACCUGAAUGCUACUUAACCUGAAAAACUCUAGGUUUAAUGCAGCCCAAGUUCAGGGCUUGAUCAAGUGAGCAAGUUGUCCCUGCUAUUUGCAAGGCAGAAAUACUUCCCAAAAGCUGGACUGGAGCAAUGCUUGUUCCUUCUAAACACAGAACUCUGAGUACAGCCUGACUGCAGUCUAUUUCUGGGCUCACUCUGAGGUGAGGGACACGCAGCAUGUGACAGCCCACAAGUUAUGAGCAGAUAAACUGGGCUAAAUGUUUUCAUUUUAUUAAGCAUUCAGUUUGGCUCUACAUGUAAAAUGCCACAGGGGAAAAGGCCUCAGAUCCUACCUCUUCAAAUAAGCUGAGGUUAUACUCAGGUCUUUGGAGGAAUCUGGAGAGAAUAUGAACUGGCUUCAUCUGUGUUUUGAAACUGAUUCUACAUAAGUAAGUAGCACAAUCUGUCAUUAUGACUGAAUGGACACAGAAAUCCUGGGCACAGAACUGGGAAAGCACCUUUGUACCAUAUAGUGAAACCUUAGCGUUUUCUCAAUGCAGACACACUAUGUAGCUGCAGAGUGAUAGCACAUCCAGGUCUAGAACAUAAAACAGUCAUUUCCAGAUGGUAGAAGAACAAAGGAGAAAAAUCAUAAUUGGAUCUCACUGUUUGUGGUUUUAUUUUCUCUCCUCCCUGGGCUCUCUGAUGAGAGUCAGCGAUCUGAAGCAUUUGUGGGCAUAGUUUUCACUGGAGGAGGUUUCGUUUCAUGGUUCCCCAUUUGUGCUCACUGCCAACUUUACAGCUAAUUUAAAUAAAACUGAGCUUGGAGAUUAAAUGGCAACCCAUGGGAUUUGUUUGUGCAAUUACCAGCACUCUUCCUUGUCAGAUUCUAAUUAAAUAGUGAGUUCCUGGACCUGCACACAGAAAACACUGGGAAAAAUGGCAAUGUCUGAGUGACAUCAGAGUUAACUCUGUCCAGCCCAUUAGAGCCCCUGCAUUCCUCAAUAACAAUAGGUGAAACCCUGGACUGUUGCAAUCUGGGAAAUUUGCCACCAGUUUCAUACAGUUAGAAAAAGGGUAGGAUUUCACCUGGGAAGACUAAAGGAACUGUCUCUUCUUGAUAGUGCAACAUUUCCAGCUUUGCAGCUUGCCUUGCAAUGGCUUUAUUUAACAGAGUGCAUUUUCCCUCACUGUGGUUAAAGCUAUUGAUGUGUUUCAUUAAAACACAUGCUCAGCGUUUGGAGCAGAACCUUCUGCAAGGCCCUAGCAGAUACCCUUGUGCCCAGAAUGAAUUUCCUGAGUGAGAAGAAAGCGGGCUACAGAAUCUAGUAUUUGGAAAAAGCUUUUUGAAAUUAUUUUCCAGGGGUUUAGGAGAAACCAGUCACCUCUGAACUAUUUUAACCAACAAAUAUGUUAAAUUUGAAAUGUAUUCAGAGAUCUGAGAAUAAUAUGUGGUUAAGCAGAUUCAUAAGGUGUUCACUAAGCAAGAACAAAGUUGGCUUUUGCUUUAUCUUCUUCCUGGCAAAUAGAGCUAGAGAGAGUGCACUCUGACUGGCAAGGAUUUCUUUUACCAUAUCCGUUUCCAUGGUGUAAAGCAAAAUUCAUCUGCCAACUCACCAACAAACUUUCUCCACUUCUAAUUCAAUUGAACCUGCUCUUCUUCCAGACACCGCAGCUGGAGAGUUAACCUGAUGGAACUGAGCAGGAACCAGCCACAUCUGGUUCUGGAUCACCUUUUUUUGCCCCCUUUCAGCCCAGCAGUAGGAAUUUGAGCAUGGAACAAAACCUGGAUUGCUCCAAGUGAUGUUACAUGCCAGACAAUCCUUGGCUCAGCAAUGGGAAACAGGCAGUUGUGAUCCAGCUUUUCACCGAACAUCAAAGAAUAUAGUGAAGCUGGAACAGGUAUGGAUGAGAAAGACUGGAGAUAUUCUGUGUGAGAAACAGUUAAACAGACUAAAAUGCUUGAAGGUGGAAGACAGAUACAUUCAAGGUCUAUAAAACUACAAGGAGCGUUACGUGGGUAAUGAGGGGCAGACAGUACCUUGCAAUGUGCUGAGAGCUGCAGGACAUCAGCUGGAGUCAGCUGGAAGCGGGUUCAGAGCAGGAGAAGGAAGAUAGGUCUUUAUGCAUCUGCAAAUCCAGUUAAGCUAUGGAGCUCUCUGCCACGUGUCAGUCAUUUACAUGGGAUCAAAAUUAAGACAAAAACAUGGACGAAAAGUCAAUUGCAGGAGUACUAAAGCACAACAGAUACCACUUCUCACUCAAAGUUUCUGAACCACAAUUUUACAGAGGUUAAGAGAGAACACCCUGAGGAAGUAUUUAUAUCAUAUGCCUUGUCUUUACACUUUUUCCUGGACAUCUGCUACAAACUAUCAAUGCGUAAAGAAUCCUUAAGAAGCUGAGUAUAAGAGCAUAAAUGCUAUAAUCCUAGGUCAGAGCAAAGAUCCAUCCGUGCUCAGAACCAGAGACUUGUUCAUGCUUAAGGAGGGAUCAUAAGAAAGAAAGACAACUGUGCUUCUAGCAAAUGCCCCUUGCCACUUCUUACAAGCUGUAGUGUAAGAAUUAUAAAUGAAUGUUUAUUUACCUUGACAGAUUUAAAGUUAUUAAAGUGAUCAAACAACUUAGUAGGAGGGAAAUCAACCUAUGAUUUUAACCUUUGCAUGAUACCAGUAUCUCAGCAUCUCAGUCAUCCUAUCCAUCUCUUGUCUGAAGCUUCCACAUUCACAGUAGCACAAAGAAGAUGGAGAGUUCAGUGGUGCUACUUUCCUCCAAUGUGAAAAGAGGCUGAAAAGAAUCACAUCUUAUUGGCUCUCCCAGGGAAAGAAAGCAUGUGGAACUGGAAUGCUGUUAGAUAUCAGAGAAUUCACACAGGGUGGUGUGUACUGGAAAGGAGGCAAUAGGUGCUCUGCCGUCACAGUGAAACUGGUUUUGUUGUUAAGCCAGCUGCUGAGACCUGGUUCAUUUGCCCAAUUCAAUCUACCCUGGGCUUUCCACAUCUUUGCUUCAAAGCCCUGUUUAUGAAGACAAAGAUGGGAACUUGGCGGCUGCAAUACAAAUGUCACAUUUUAUGAGCAAGACAAUUGCCCUAAGAAGGUUUUUUUCUUUCUUUUUUGGCAGGCUCUCAACCCAUGGCCUGGGUCUCCAUGCCCCCCAACUCCUUCACCACACAGUACAGAAAUGGACACUGAAAAUUUCUGUCUGAGGCCAGCUUUGGCAGUGGAGCCAACAAGAAGAGAAACAGCCUGUGCUCUAAUAAGUAAAAUAUUUAUGUCUUGCUUUGGCUAACAUACCCUCUCUCAAUAAAAUAUUUUUCCCAGGAGGAACUCUAUGAAAGGGAGGGAGCUCCUUUACUAUGUCCCCAAAUCAUUCUUUUCUGCUGCCCUUCAAAAGCCUGGAAAUCAAAGAACACUGUAGUCCGAAGCUUUUUCUUGCCAUUCUUGACUUUGUUAUCGUUAGUUAUUACAAUCAUUACAUUGAUUACCAUUAUGAGCUCUCAAGAGGCUCUGGCUAAUCAGCACCCCAUUCCAGGAAACGCUCUGACAAAUCUCUCGCAGCAUACGCAUACACAAAGCUUGUAGUCUACAAAGACCAGCUUAAACAGACUGUUAACCCGUUCCCAUGCCAGGGAACUGCAGUACAGAAACUGCAAAGUAUAGCUAUGUGGGAAGCUUGUGUUAGAGCUCUUAACUCUGCUGCUUGAGAGGGCAGCCUGGUUACUUCUUUCUGGAGCCUCAGAAAACCAUUCUGGAGAGACUCAUCACCUGCAAAAGAUUCACUGAUGAUGCUCUGUGCUUGGACUUGUUGCUAACCUCCCAAACUAUCAGCUCACAGUCUGUAGCUCAAACAGCAGCCUGCAGGACAUGGGGCAGGCCCUGGUUCAGCUGCAGGGUUACUAGCUACACCUGUACAGGCAGUUUCACCUUGUUGGGAUCUGCCACUCCCAAGCACCAAGAAAGAUUGCACACACUGACUUUCAACCGCAGGCUGCGCUGCCACUCCUGAGACCACCAGCAAAAUUUCAAUCUCUUUCUGGGCUUAUCAUCUCUGCAACUCACAUGACUGCUCAUGGCAUCUGCUUUCUCUUGCUAGUGCUACAUUACAAAUGCGUUCUGUCUAUCCUAGCCUGUGACUUGUAUCACUUUCCUGAUGUAUGGGAAGAGGCAGAAGUUCUGUAUCCAACCAAAUGAAAACAGAUUCUGAGCUUUGAUGGUUCCUCUUCUAGGUCACCAGCCUUACACAAACCACAAUGUGGUGGGGGGGAGGAGGGAAGGACAGCAAUAUAUAAAACCAACCCCAGUCUCUAUUAAGGAAUGACAAAGUCAAAAUCCCAUGGAUACCAACAGCAAAAACACACGCAAAAUUCAAGGAAAAGAGAAAAGAAAACUCUAUCUGGGAUUUUUAAAGAAGAAUUGAGCAUGUAUACAUAACACUUUGGCAAGGGAGCCCAGGCAGGAAAGCGUUGCAACUCCAACAUGCUGUGCUCAGAGAAGGUGUUAAUGGUCCAGCCAUCCUGUGUUAUUGCACACAAACAGGAGAGGCCCAGCAGAACUGUAGGGGUCUUUAAGAUCCCCACCAAUAUGGAAAAAGCAGAGAGAGUUAU